UAAUUGGUCCACUCCAUGUGUGGGCCAAGGACACUUGGACAACAACUAUAUGAGCCUAAAGUAUGACCAAGUAGUCAUCUUUUCCCCAUUGCAAGACUUAGAAAAAAAAAUCAAGGAGUUGAAGACCACCUUCAACACCCCUCUCGGCUACAAACCAAGAAAAACCAAAUCCAAAUCAAGCCACCCCAAAAUUAUUUCCUUGGUAUAAAUCAACUAUUUAGAAGUCCCUAAGUAACGUGGAAGAGUUGUUUGGGUCAUCCAACCACUAGUUGUGCCCAAUUGCAAACCCUAACUAUUGAAGGAAGUGAAGAAGGAAGACCUUGGGCAGCCCGAAUCAUAGUUUGGACUUAGCUUGAGUUGGAUCAUAUUGGAGAGCGUUUGAGGUACAGACGCACAGCCUGGUGAUCCACCUGUUUAGGACACCCUUUCUGCUAUUCGGAGUGCUCCUCUCUUUCCGGAGCUUAUACUUUUGGUAUAUAUAUAUAUAUUUAUUAGUGCAUUUGUAUAUAUUCGUUCAUGGGUACGGCGGGGCCCUGUCCCGUCAUAUGAUUCUGUCGGUCUGUUUAGAGGUCUGUGGACAUGUUUGUGGGUUAAGGUCUUUCUGUAUGGAUGUAUGUACAUGUCGUUUGGGCGAUCCCAUACGCCGAGGCGACCGGUCCGCAUAUGUUGUUUGGGCGAUCCUAUACGCCGAGGCGGCCGGUCCGCAUAUGUUUAUAUAUUGCUUGGUUAGCCCUGUGUGGCUUUUGUUGGUAUUUUCUGCGUGCAGGGUAUAUUGGAU